UUAAGCAUCUUGAAAAGCAGAGUAAUUAAUAUUAGUGGCUAGUAAAGAGAGCUGAUGGUUGGUGAAAGUCAGUAAGCGAAUAUUAAUGAAGAUGGGCUUGAAGUGAUGCCUACUGGUGAGAUUUAGCUAGUAGCGGCUUUGCAUCCGUUAGCAAUGCAGACUAUUUUUUGAUAGUCACUGAGGUCUAUUAUGUGAAUAAUGGACAAAUUAAAGGUGGUAACGCGAGCACUCGUCCUUUUG
rnacentral:ncRNA from 1 species